rnacentral:rRNA from 1 species
GCAUAAUAGGUUGCCUUUUAAUUGAAGGCUAGAAUGAAUGAAUGAACAAGAAUAUAACUGUUUCAAAUAUAUAAAUAAAAUUUAAUAUAUUAGUGAAGAAGCUAAUAUUUUAUUAAAAGACAGAAAGACCCUUUGAGCUAUUAUUUAUAUUAAUAUAUUGAUAUAUAAAUUUAAUUUUGACUGGGGUGGUUUAGGAAUAUUUAUAACUUCCUUAUAUUAUUAUGAUAAUAAAUCUAUUGGUGAUCUUUUAAUAGUUUUAGAUAAGUUACCUAAGGGAUAACAGAUUAAUUUUUUUGGAAAGUUCUUAUUGAUAAAAAAGAUUAAUACCUCGAUGUUGGCUUAAAAUUUCCUUUAAGUGAAGAAGUUUAUAGGGUUAGUUUGUUCAACUAUUAAAAUUUU